rnacentral:lncRNA from 1 species
GUGGGGGCAGGGUCAGGCAUGUCUGAGCUCAGACUCUCUGUGGUGGGUCUUGCUGCAGCUGCUCUGGAGGUUGGGGGUGAGGUUCCCAGGUCAAUGAAGUUGUGUACCUAGGAGGAUUAUGGCUGCUUCUGGUGAGUCAUGCAGGUUGUCAGGGAAGUGAGGGAAAGCCGGCAGUCAAAGGCCUCACCCAGCUCCCAUGCAAUCCAAAGGGCUGGUCUCACUCCCACUGUGCCCCCCUAACAACCUUAAGUCUGUUUCCAGGCAGGGGGCAAGCAGGGUUGAGAACUUGCCCCAGGCUGCCUGCCUCCCAGCUGUGAAAGAAAAGGACUAUGGUUCUUCCCCCACCUGUGGAGCCUGCACACCAGAUUCAUGCCCUCCCCCUGAGUUCUGGCCAGCAGGCUUCUCACCCGGUUCAAAUUGUUACAAAGUUCAGCUGGAGACUUCCUUCUUCCUGUAGUGUUUUCCCCUGCACCUCUGGCUGCUUUUUCAAAGGAUCCCUGUGAUGCCAGCCAGGAAUGGCCUGUGAGCUUCCACAGCCUUUCCCGCUGCUUCCUCUACCCCUGUAUUUCUCUCGGCUCUCUCAAUUGACUCAGGUCCAGAAAUUACCCUUGUUUGGAGAACUUCAAAAAAUUAUCAGAUGAGAACUCACAGAAGAUAGGCCAGUGCCAGGAUAUGUUCAGAGGACUCUUCUUGGUAAUCCUGUAGUAGGCAACUGCUACCACUCUGGUGGAAUGAUGAAUCAAUCAUAUCUGCAAGGACUGACAACAGCAGGACCGGGCAAUCUCCAGGAACCUGAUACAGCCUGGAGGCGGGCAACUAUGGUGCCCCUUCUGGCCAUAUACCUGCCUGACUUGAUUAUUACCAUAGGAAUACAUAGUUUGAAGAAGGCUUGAAAACAAUUACAAUGGACCAGGUGCUACCCAGCAGAAAGAGAAAUUUAAGGGACCCCUUUUACGGCAGAGUGCAUCUAAUGCAAGAAAGUAAUUGUAGAAGAAACUAACUCUUCCAUCAAGCUUUGUAUCAUAUUAUACAUCAGAUAAGCUCAUCAACUGUGAAAAUUUUAAGCUUUAUGCCUCCCUACUUGAAGGCUCUUUUGAACAACAUCUGCUGGAGUUCUUCAACCAGUAAAUAAAGUUAUUAUGCAGUCCAUAUUUUACCUUUUGUUCAUAAAAAUGAUUCUUAAAUUUUUUUUCAUAAAAUUCUUUCUUCAAGUUGAGAUAGGCUACAUGUCCAAAUUAAAGACAAAUAAAAAUAUAUCAGCAAUUAUAUUACAUGUGAGUGAAAUAAAACUGCAAGACAAAGUUUGUCAAGCUGGGUUAAAGAAAGCAAAACAAAAUACUUCUUAUACACCUAAAGUUGAAAGUAAAAGGAUGGAAAAUAUAUAAAACAUUAACAAAAGGACAAUUGCUAAUACUGUAUUAAUGUAAGACUCAGUACAAUAUAUUUAAAGUACUAAUAGACACAAAAUGAUUAACUUAAAAUGGUCAGUUCAACAGAAUAUUAAAAUCUUAAGUUUGUAUGCAUAAAGUAGAAUGAUUCAAAAGGAAGAAAUAAAACUUUUUAUUGCAGAUGCUGUAAUUGUGCACUUGGAAAAUUGAAAACAAUCAACAUAUAAGUUUUUAAAACAAAUACAGUAAAUACAUUUUGUGAGAUCACUGGAUGUAUUGUCAAUAUACAGGAAUCAAUUAUGGUGUGUGUGUGUGUGUGUGUGUGUGUGUGUGCAACAAACAAAUACCAAUUUAAGAAAAAUACUGUUUUUAAGACCAUCAAAAAGCACCAAACGCUAGGAGAAAAACUAAUGAAAGUUGUGUAUGAGCUCUACACUAACAACUAUUAGCUAUUACCAAGAAAAAUUAAGAAAGACCUACAUAGAUGGAUAUGUUUAACAUAUUUAUGGAUUAGAAGAAACAAUAUUUAAAUCUGUCAGUUCUCUCCAGAUUAAUCUGUAGCUUCAAAAUAAUUCCAAUGGGGUGUGUGUGUUUGUGUGUGUGUGUGUGUGAAAAUCAACAAAACAAGUAUAAAAUGUAUAUAAAAAUGAAAAAACCCAGAUUAAUAAAGAUGAUCUUGAAGAUCAAAGCUGGAGGUGUUACACUACUGGAUUUUUAAGUCUUAUAAAACUACAUUAAUUAAAACUGUGAUUUUUGAAGCAAGUUUAGAUAAAUUAACCAAGGAAUAGAAGAGAAUUCAAAUUGUAUCCAUACUUAUAAGGCCAUCUGAAUUAUGAUAAAGAUGUCAUUGUAAUGCAAUGGGGAAAAUUGGUUGUUUCAAUAAACAGUGCUGCAUCAGUUGAAUACUAGGCCUUACUACUAUUUCACUCUGUUCACAAAAAUAAAUUUCAGGUGGAUUACAAAUCUAAAUAUGAAAUAUAAGACAAUAAGUCUUCUAAAAUAAAAUCUAGGAGGAUGACUUCAAGAACUCAGGUUUGCAAAGAUAUCUUAAACAAAACACAGAGAGCCCUAACCACAAGAGAAAAGACUAGUAAGUUGAGUUUUGUUCAAAUUAAGGAAUUCUGUUCAUUUACACACACUAUUUAGGAAGUGAAAACAUAAGCUACAGAGUGGGAAGACAUAAAUAAUUUCUACAAAGCAAUAAGUAAAAUUAACCCAAUUUUUUAAAUGAGCAAAAUACUUUACAAAGUAGUGUGAUCAAAUGACUAAUAAGCAUAUGAAAAAGUGGUCAAAAACAUUACAUAUGAGAUGAAAAUGCAUUAAAACCUCUGUGAGAUAAUACUAGAAACCCAUCACAAUUAAAACCAAUCAAAAGUAAAAGGUUUGACAACCCCGGGUUUGGGUGAGGGAGUAAUUGGCUUUCUAAUACUGCUGGAGGGAAUGUAAAUUAAUACUUACUGCUUUGGAAAAUUAGCAUUAACAAACUGCUGUGACACACAACAACAUGGAUGAAUCUCACAGAUACUAUGUUGAGCGAAAAAUGUCAGACACCAAAAAUCACAGAUAGUAUCAUUCCAUGCGUGUGCAGUUAAAAAGCAAGCAAAACUAACCUCCAGUAAUAGUAGCUGGGAUAGCAUUUACUUUUUAAGGGUUACUGACUGGGAGACAGCAAAAGGAAGCUUUCUGCAUAAUGCUCUCCAUUCACGGUCUGAUUGGUGGAAAUACUCAUUUUUAAAAUUCUUCUAGCUUUACUCUUAAGAUUGAUAUACUUCAUUGUAUAUAUGGUAUAG